rnacentral:lncRNA from 1 species
UUGCUGCAGUGAUGGUAUAAGCAUAGCUGCUGUCCUUACUCCUAAAGCCUCUUUCUCAAAUUAAUUAGAGAUCUUCUUAAGUUAUCAGUGGCCAGUCUAUGAUGAAACUGUGGUUAGAGCUGUUCUGCUGAAGUUAGUUGUGUGCUGCAGGCUUGACUACUGUCUACCUGCAUGUUGGGGUUUUCAGAGUGUCUUCAAGCUCUUAUCCAAGGGCACUUUUCACUGUCCUGAACCUCCAGGUAGGCAGUGCUCUCCAUCCAGCAGAAAUACCCCUCAUCCUAUAGAUCUUGCCUUGCCCUUGGUUCUCUGCACCUGUGGUGUUUAUUCUAGGUCUGAUCAGCUCUGAUGAAGUUCCAGCAAGACUCAUUUUGCCAAGGAAAUUCAACCAUGUUCUCUCCAGCUCUUGCAGCACUUCACAGGCUGGUGUGCCCAGCUGUGCCUGCAUCCAGAGGAGGAGGCUGUGAGAGUAGCGUGUAGGAUACGGAGCAAGGGAGACUCGUCCUGAGGGCCCACUGGGGCCAGAGCCUCUGAGACAAGGAGGACGUAGCAGUUGAAACUGUCCUGUCAGACCUGAUGGCACCACUGCAGCCCAGACAUCUCCUCAGAGAGCUACCAUCAGUGUAAAGGUGAAGAAGAAGAAAAAAGAGCAUUGAUAUGUGUGAAGUGCAAAAAGUCUAAAGACUUUUUGCAAAGGGUCCGAGCCACUUCCUUUGUGUCUGUUCUUCAGAAUGAAGGUGAAGAGAAGGCACUGCCACGGCACUUAGGAGACUGAGAAGCAUCUGGCAUACUCUGUGCUGUGCAUGGUCAUCUCUGAACACCUUGCAGGGCUGUCUGAGGGGCCAGCACAACCUGGUGUUCUCUGCAGAUGUGGCGUACCAUGGCCAAAGCCAGAGAACUCAUUGUGAGGACGUCACUAGUCAUGGAGGAUACUAGGGAUGGGUUUUCACCUUCCAGCAGAACAAGCUUCCCAGACACAUAGCUCUGUAUCUCUUUGUGCUUGUUACACCUUCCAGAGGAGUUGUUUGUACUGUACUGAUACUGUUUAUAUUGAAUAAAUCCUUUCUCCA